rnacentral:rRNA from 1 species
GCGGGCGGGGCGGGGGCACGGGGGGCCUACGGGAGGCAGCAGUGAGGAAUAUUGGGCAAUGGGCGGAAGCCUGACCCAGCCAUGCCGCGUGCAGGAAGACGGUCCUAUGGAUUGUAAACUGCUUUUAUACGGGAAGAAACACUCCCUCGUGAGGGAGCUUGACGGUACCGUAAGAAUAAGGAUCGGCUAACUCCGUGCCAGCAGCCGCGGUAAUACGGAGGAUCCAAGCGUUAUCCGGAAUCAUUGGGUUUAAAGGGUCCGUAGGCGGCCUUAUAAGUCAGUGGUGAAAUCUCCUAGCUCAACUAGGAAACUGCCAUUGAUACUGUAGGGCUUGAAUAAUUAGGAAGUAACUAGAAUAUGUAGUGUAGCGGUGAAAUGCUUAGAUAUUACAUGGAAUACCAAUUGCGAAGGCAGGUUACUACUAAUUUAUGACGCUGAUGACGAAAGC